rnacentral:rRNA from 1 species
CGCAAUGGGCGAAAGCCUGACGGAGCAAUGCCGCGUGAAGGAUGAAGGCCUGUGGGUUGUAAACUUCUUUUUUCAGAGAAGAAAUUUUGACGGUAUUUGAGGAAUAAGCAUCGGCUAACUCUGUGCCAGCAGCCGCGGUAAGACAGAGGAUGCAAGCGUUAUCCGGAAUGAUUGGGCGUAAAGCGUCUGUAGGUGGCUUGACAAGUCUCCUGUCAAAGAUCAGGGCUUAACCCUGGGCCGGCAGGAGAAACUAUCCGGCUAGAGUUCGGUAGGGGCAGAGGGAAUUCCCGGUGGAGCGGUGAAAUGCGUAGAUAUCGGGAGGAACACCAACGGCGAAAGCACUCUGCUGGGCCAGAUUUAUGAUGUACUUCGGUACCAA